GGAAACAGGUGCUAAUACCGCAUAACCAUAGUUACCGCAUGGUAGCUAUGUAAAAGGUGGCUAUGCUACCGCUUUUGGAUGGGCCCGCGGCGCAUUAGCUAGUUGGUGGGGUAAAGGCUUACCAAGGCAAUGAUGCGUAGCCGAACUGAGAGGUUGAUCGGCCACAUUGGGACUGAGACACGGCCCAAACUCCUACGGGAGGCAGCAGUAGGGAAUCUUCCACAAUGGGCGAAAGCCUGAUGGAGCAACGCCGCGUGGGUGAAGAAGGUCUUCGGAUCGUAAAACCCUGUUGUUAGAGAAGAAAGUGCGUGAGAGUAACUGUUCACGUUUCGACGGUAUCUAACCAGAAAGCCACGGCUAACUACGUGCCAGCAGCCGCGGUAAUACGUAGGUGGCAAGCGUUAUCCGGAUUUAUUGGGCGUAAAGGGAACGCAGGCGGUCUUUUAAGUCUGAUGUGAAAGCCUUCGGCUUAACCGGAGUAGUGCAUUGGAAACUGGGAGACUUGAGUGCAGAAGAGGAGAGUGGAACUCCAUGUGUAGCGGUGAAAUGCGUAGAUAUAUGGAAGAACACCAGUGGCGAAAGCGGCUCUCUGGUCUGUAACUGACGCUGAGGUUCGAAAGCGUGGGGAGCAAACAGGAUUAGAUACCCUGGUAGUCCACGCCGUAAACGAU
rnacentral:rRNA from 1 species